CUCUCUUCUCUCUCUUCGCUCUUCCACUAACGGUCACCAUCCACCUACCCGCCAGUGCUCGCACCACCACCGGCGGCCGCCGAAAAAUACAGGUAAUUAACCCUACACUCUUUUUUUCUCUCUCUCAUCCUUUCUUCCGCCCUCCUUCCCCUGUUCCUCUUUUCCGUCCUCACUGCCUUUCUGCCCCAAACCCAAAGCCGCUUGUGUUUCUUCCUCUCCCUCUCUCUUUUUCCAUCUUUUGUCUUCCCCACCCUAUCUCCCUUGUUCUCCAUCUGUUUUUUCCCUCUUUCCCGUCCUUUUAAGAAAAUCACCGCCACUCAGAUCUGAGCCGAGGAGCAUCGCCGCUGCUCUCCAUAUCUUAUCCUUCAAGUGUGGCAGGUUAUCAAAUUGCUGGCGAAUAUCAGCAAAGAGGCGAGUGGAACACUCGUGCUAGCAAAGAAUAGCAAAUAACAGCGGCCGCAGAGGCUUGUGGGAGUGCGUAGAAGGUCAGUAUUAUAGCAACGCCUCGACAUCCAAUUGGUGAUCCAGGUUCUAUCCACCCAGAGUUGGUACAUCCGGAUCUCCUGUCUCCUUUUGUCUUUCAUUCUUGCGAGUUGCAGAAUUGCUUUAAUUAACAGUAUAUAUUUGUUUGUUUUUAGUUUCGCGCAUUAGUCCUAGUGGAGUACUUAUCUGCUUGCUUGUAGUAUCGACGGGGUGUCUUAGUUUAAAUAUUUUACAUUGCAUACUAGCUUGUCGUUGCUUUAUUCUUAGUGUGUUCUUGUUUUAUUACAUUCUGUGCACCUGUUAUUUUAUUGUUAAAUCUUAUUACUAAUACAUUUCGUUCACCUGUUACUUUGCUAUUAAUCUAUUUAUCUCAAUAGUAUCUUUCGGGUACUUAAUCUCACAUACCUUGCUGCUACUAUCAUUCCUAGUUUAAUAGUCCUACUUCUGUGCCUUUUAGCUUAUUAGUUUGCCGUUUCUUCCAUGGUAGUUCCUGCUUAGAAUGUAUUAGAUUAUAAUGGUUGUACUAAACGAUGGCAGGGUAAGGUCAAGUCCUCGGGGGGAGGGAGGGGGGUCCUCAGGGGGGUGGAGGGGUAGGGGAAAGUGGGUAAGGAUAGUAAGGAUGCCUCGAGUUUGCGAGUUGGGUCUUGGAUUAUGGGGACUUUGACGAGAAAUUCUGCAGAGUUAUCGAAGAUUUUUCAUAAGAGGAAGAUAAAUAUAGCUUGUUUGCAUAAGACUAGAUGGGUGAGAGAUAUGGUACGGAAUGUAGAUAGGUUUAAGUUUUGGUACUCUGGAUACAUGGGGGGCAAGAACGGGGUAGGUAUUUUGGUUGAUAGGGAUCUUCGGGAGCUAGUGGUGGAGGUUAGGAGGGUGAACGACAGGUUGAUGAGUAAGCUAGUUGUUUGGGGUUUUAGUCUAAACGUGAUUAGUACGUACGCAUCUCAAGUGGGCUUGGACGAGGAGGUCAAAAGAUGUUUUUGAGAGGAUUUUGAUGAGGUUGUACGUGGUAUUUCGCACACUGAGAAGAUUUUCUUAAGAGGAGAUUUUAAUGGCCACAUUAGGGCGAUGUGAGGAGGCUACGAUGAUGUGUAUGGCAGUUUUGGUUUCGAAGUUAGAAACAAAGGUGGUACGACCCUACUGGAUUUUGCUAAGGCUUUUGAUUUGGUGAUAGCUAACUCUAGUUUCCCGAAGAAGGAGGUGCAUUUGGUCACCUUUCAGAGUUCGGUGACCAGGACCCAGAUUGAUUAUCUACUUUUUAGGAUAACUGAUAAAGGUAUGUGCGGGGACUGUAAGGUCAUCCCGAGUAAGAACCUCACGACUCAGCAAAAGGCUUAUGGUCAUGGACUUGGAGAUCAUGAGGAAGCGAAGAAAAAGGGCUGUGUUUGGUUUACCUAGGAUCAAGCGGGUAGCUUUGACAAAAGUUAGAGCACAUGAGUUGGGGAGAUAAGUUAUUGGCUAUAGUAUCAUGGAGGAGGAGUGCGGACGCGAGUAGUAUAUGGACCGCGACUGCAAAUUGCAUUAGGGAGGCUGCUACUGCUAGAGAGGAAUUGGGGGUCUCGAAGGGCUCAUCUAGCCAUAAAGGGGAUUGGUGGUAGAGUAUUGAGAUUCAAGGUAAAGUGGAGGCCAAUAAAGCGGCAUAUCUGAAGCUUCUGGAGAGCGUGGACGAGGAGGCGAAGAGGACGAAUAGGGAGCAGUAUAGGAUGGCUAAGAAGAAAGCGAAGUUAGCAGUUACUGCGACCAAGACUAUUGUGUUUGACAUUUGUAUGAAGAACUCAGAGGUAGAGGAGGGGAUAAGAAGUUGUACAGGCUAGCCAAGGUGCGAGAAAGGAAGGCCGGUGACUGGACCAAGUGAAAUGCAUCAAGGACAAGGACGGCAAAGUUUUUUUCGAUGUGGCACUUAUUCGACGUAGAUGGUAGACUAACUUCCAUAAACUCUUAACGACGAGGGGAUAGGAACAUUGAGCUAAGCGACUUAGAACACUUUGAGUGUUAUCGGGACUUUGGUUAUUGUAGGCGUAUAAGAGUCGAGAAGGUUGAGGGGGCUAUGCUUAAGAUGGGCAGGGGGAGUGUGACCGGCCCUGAAGAGAUCCCGGUAAAAUUUUGGAAGAGUAUGGUUAGGUGCAAUGGUAUAUGUUAUUAGCGUAUGACAUUGUUCUGGUAGACGGUACGUGAGGUAGUAUUACCGAGAGGUUAGAGAUUUAGAGGCAGACCCUGGAGUCUAAAGGUUUAAAGUGCAAGUUUAGUGGGACAACUCAGGUUGUGGACGAAGAAGUGAGGCUUGACUUCCAAGUCAUCCCUAGGAGAGAGAGUUUUAAAUACCUUGGGUAUAUAUAUAUAUAUAUAUAUAUAUAUAUAUAUAUAUAUAUAUAUAUAUAUAUAUAUACUACUACUACUAUAUACUACUAUAUANNNNNNNNNNNNNNNNNNAAUACAUAUUUUAAUCCUACAUUACGUACAAUUAGUAUAUUAUGUAUAUUAAUCCCUGUAAUAUCACUUAUAUAAUCCUUAUAUACAUUAAAUGCAUUAAUAUCAUAAAUCUAUAUAUGCAUAACUUAUCUCUAAAUCAAAUCGUCCAUAAAGGUAAUUCUUUAGGCAUCUGAAUACCAACAUUAAUUAUGAGAUAGUAUAAAGAUCAGCCAUGCAUUUUAAAGAAUCAAAGUAUAAUUCUUAAAAGGGGUGUGCGUACCCUCUGUUAGCAAAUGAUGAUCUCUUCUUGAACGGUAGAGGACUACUUGCUUCAAUAGUCACUUGAGUAUUUUGACUCUUUAUUCCGCAGCUAAUAGCUAAAUCAAGAAAAUUAUUAUUUUUCUAACUCACUCAUAAAUCAAACUACAGAAUACUACUAGUAAUAUUUAACACAUCCAAUAUUAUCAAGAAAAAUUAAGCUUUAAUUCCUCUUCUCCCUUCAUUGUCUUGAGUUCUUUUUUCAAUAUACUAAUGAGGGAAGUUGGAGAAAGUCAUGAGUGGCUCUAGGGUAAGGCCACUAAAGCUUAUGCUUUAGGCCCCCAAGAGUCAAAAGGCGCCCCAAAAUCUUUUCUAUUAAUUAUAAUUAUUUAUAUUAGUGAGAUUUUUUUUAAGUUAACAAAACAUUAACAUUUUGUUUUAAUACACUAAGUUGGUUCUCGUUAUCAAAUAUGUUAUUAGUAAAUAUGAAUAUUUGAAUAAUUUAACUCAAAAAUUUAAAAUAUUAGACAAUGUUAUACUGUGAAAUACUUAAAAGAAAACUUAAAACCUUUGAAAAAAAAUUUGUUAAGACUAUACAGUUUUUUCUUAGUUAUCUAAAUUAAUCGUGUCUAUUUGUCCAACCGUUGUCACAUUACUAAUGUUAUUUCCUCGCAUAUUCUUAAGUUUUGGCUUUAGACCUCCGAUUUUAUUGAGCUGACCCUGAGAAAGUUACAAGAAAGUAUGGUAAAAAGAAAAUUGGAAUCACAUAUCAUGAGUCAUGAAUAAGCAAAAUUAAUAGCUUCGCUAUAGAGGUCCUGGGUUUUCUUGUGAAAUUCUGAGAUAAGCAAUGCCGAAGUUCUUUUAUUCUCUUCUUCUUCUUUUCCAGAUUCUGAGUUCAUCUUUGCGUUUAUCUUGAUCAGACAUUUUGAUGAGUUUCUUGAUAAAUCCGGGUUGAAGAAGUUCUUAUGAAUUAGAUGAUGAAGAAAUGAAGACGCAUAGAACAAGAAAGAAAGAAAGAGAGAGAGAGAGAGAGAGAAAUGGAACUGUUAUUUGUACGAAUAUUUAUAAGUAGUGGAGUAACUACUUUUCGUGGACGGUAGUAGUAUUUGAUUGCGUGCUGCAUUAUGAACUUAUGAUCACUUAUUUAUAAUUUUUAUUUUCUUUUUCUUCUUCUUUUUAUUUUUAUUGGUUUAUUUGUAGUUUUAUUUUAAACUCAUAUAGAACAAAAGAAGUUCAGCGAUAGUAAGAUUUCUU
rnacentral:lncRNA from 1 species